rnacentral:misc_RNA from 1 species
GAUGAAGAACGCAGCGAAAUGCGAUAAGUAAUGUGAAUUGCAGAAUUCAGUGAAUCAUCGAAUCUUUGAACGCACAUUGCGCCCGCCAGUAUUCUGGCGGGCAUGCCUGUCUGAGCGUCAUUUCAACCCUCAUGCCCCUAUGGCGUGGUGUUGGGGAUCGGCCAAAGCCCGCGAGGGACGGCCGGCCCCUAAAUCUAGUGGCGGACCCGUCGUGGCCUCCUCUGCGAAGUAGUGAUAUUCCGCAUCGGAGAGCGACGAGCCCCUGCCGUUAAACCCCCAACUUUCCAAGGUUGACCUCAGAUCAGGUAGGAAUACCCGCUGAACUUAAGCAUAUCAAUAAGCGGAGGA